rnacentral:rRNA from 1 species
CUUGGUCAUCAGGGAAGUAAUGUCGUUACACGGUUAUCCGUAGGUGAACCUGCGGAAGGAUCAUUACAGUGUUCCCUGCCCUCACGGGUAGAAACGCCCACCCUUUGUGUAAUAUAUCUUGUUGCUUUGGCAGGCCGCCCUCGGGCACCGGCUUCGGCUGGGCUGCGCCUGCCAGAGGACCCCAAACUCUGAAUGUUAGUGUCGUCUGAGUACUAUAUAAUAGUUAAAACUUUCAACAACGGAUCUCUUGGUUCUGGCAUCGAUGAAGAACGCAGCGAAAUGCGAUAAGUAAUGUGAAUUGCAGAAUUCAGUGAAUCAUCGAAUCUUUGAACGCACAUUGCGCCCCGUGGUAUUCCGCGGGGCAUGCCUGUUCGAGCGUCAUUUAAACCAAUCCAGCUUGGCUGGGUCUUGGGCUCUCGCCUCCGGGCAGGCCUUAAAAUCAGUGGCGGUGCCAUCCGGCUCUAAGCGUAGUAAUACUCCUCGCUACAGGGCUCCGGGUGGAGGCUGGCCAACAACCCCUUAUUUUAUCAGGUUGACCUCGGAUCAGGUAGGGAUACCCGCUGAACUUAGCAUAUCAGUAAGC